UUAGCUCUGUUGGGUUAGAGCAUGGUGCUAAUAACACCAAGGCUGUGGGUUCAAUCCUCAUA
rnacentral:tRNA from 1 species